UACUUUUAAGCAUAGUAUUGCUGAUUGCAUUUUUUAACAUUGGGACAAAUUCAUUCGUACGACGUGCGAAUGUAACGAUUACAAAGCCAGUAUGGAAUAGAUAUAAUAACACUAGGCCUUAUUACGGAGCAUUCAAUGGAAGUCGAGUUAUACAGCCCGUGCAGAGCAGUCCGCAAUUUGCAGCACCUUACCAAGGAGCAGUUCAACAACCAAACAUAGGAUUCAGUAGCAUUCUUUUCGGCUCUGGUACUCCAAUCCAACCCUAUGGAAUUAAUGCUCAGCCGUACUACCCAAACAGUACUACGCAUGGAAAUUUUAACUAUACCAAAAGUGCUCAAGCCAAUAGCACUUAUCCAUACGCCAGGCUUUUCAAGUUCUGAUCAUCUGUUUUUGUUUUCCAUAUAUAGGGGUUUGGACUGUCGGAAUUAAUAAAGUUCAAAUUCGAAAUUUCUUUUCAUUUUUUCAAACAAUAUUUAUUGUGCAGAUAAUCCGAUUUUAAUUGACAUUAGAUUAUCUGGAUCAUCGUGUUAAAUAGCUUUCCGGUAUUCCAGGAACGUUUUUAUAAUACAGUAUAUGUUGAUAUGAUGAUUGGCUCCACUCAUGGGGUUAUUAGGUCAAGGGGUGCAGGUUAUUGAUGUUUAAUUAAGCACUAAGUCGUUCAGUCCUUCUAUAUAGAUGACAGUUGUAGGUAUACAGGUAGAGCAUAGCUAAUUAUGGAAGUAUAUCAGCUUUGAACGUAUAAUUUGUAUCAUGUUCUUAGGUGCUAGGGGAAUACCGACGAUGAUCAUAAAGAAAAACAAAGCCCGAUGUAGUACAAUUUCAAAAUAAUCCCACGCCGCCGUCCGAAGCUCCCACGCCGCAGUCGCGCAACUCCCUCGCCGCCGUCAGUUCGCAAAUCCCACGAAGUCCUCCGCAAAGUCCCUCGCCGCAGUCAAUUCACCAAUUCGGCGUCCCUCCCAUCAAUCCUAGAGAAGUGUUGUACCUAGCGCCCUCGCCUAACCAAAUCCCUAAAAGUCCCACGCCGAAAACUUGCGAAUCCCUCGCCGCCGUCAGUUCUAUUGGUAUCCCACGCCGCAGUCAAAGCUUAAGUCCCACGCUGCCGUCAUAAUGUAGCUCAAAUGUUGUUCCAAAAUUUCAGAAAGUAUAUUCUCAAUGCUCAAAAAAAAAUUCUAAUUGCCCGAAACGAUGCGUUCUCAGAAAACGUCAAAAAUAAACGGCCUCAUCUCAUCAGUCAUAGUAGUAGAGUAGUAGAAGAAAUUAGCAGAGUACCAGAAUAAAAUGACCAGAGUAAGUUCCUAUCGCUGCCAGCGAGCCCUAAUGCAGGGAAAUGUGUGUGUGUUAUAGAUGCGAAGCAAUAUUUCUUAAGGCUGAAGUUGCAGUUGUCCAAACAGGGAUUCAAAAAGUGUCCUACGCGUUUAUAUGCUAGCCAUCGUACGAAGAGAAAGGUGAUUGUGCAGGCGGUCGUGUCGAUGAAAAUGAUGAUUUCUUUUCGCAAUAGUAGUAGUAGAAUUGUGGCUUGCAAAUCGGUUGAGUUCUGCCUAUUUGCCUCGGACUGGAUGCAGUUGUGACAAAGAUGAAAAUGUUCCCAAACUAGUUCGAUAUUUAUUCCUAACGAAGACCUCCAGAGGUACGUGCAGAUGUGUUUGUAUAGUGAUAAGCCGUCAAUGCCGUAAGAUGAUUUAAAAGGACCCUUGCCGCUCCAGCUCGUCAACAAGAAAAUGUCGAUUAAAAGCGCUGCGACGACAUCUGAGUCGACUUAGAAAAACAACCAAGCUCGGAUGAGAUUCAAUCUCAGCACAUGGGGUGGUGGAUGGUUGAAUUUUGUCGAUCAGGUUAUAAUCAAUAGAUUGCCCAGUUGUAGCAAUCUCUGCCAGCCAAACUUGAACGGUUGAUUGUGUCGUCCCAUCCCGUACCCUCUCAGCAAAAGGCCCUGAAGAUUAAUAGACGACAAAGGUAUGGGUAGGCCCGUAGAGAAAUGAAGUUGUUUCAUUCAAGUCGCUCCUUCACUCUCUCUCAUUACGGGCGGGUAGUAGGCCAUCAUCAGGGAUCCUCGUCUGUCG